rnacentral:lncRNA from 1 species
GGUGUGCCCGUGGCCUAUUUUUGGCACACGGAGGCCGCCCGCAAAGUCUGGGGCCAUUCCGAGUCCGGCGGACGAACUUCGCCCACGCCCCCCAUCAAGGCUAUAGCCCGCCCACCCGUUUUUUGGCCAUUUUUCCGCUGGGGGGUCUUGGCGCCCCGACCUUCGGGGGCUGAUUUUUGGGCGCGGGUGUGCCCGUGGCCUAUUUAUGGCACACGGAGGCCGCCCGCAAAGGCUGGGGCCAUUCCGAGUCCGGCGGACGAGCUUCGCCCACGCCCCCCACCAAGGCUAUAGCCCACCCUUUUUUUGGCCAUUUUUCCGCUGGGGGGUCUUGGCGCCCCGACCUUCGGGGGCUGAUUUUUGGGCGCGGGUGUGCCCGUGGCCUAUUUUUUGCACACGGAGGCCGCCCGCAAAGUCUGGGGACAUUCCGAGUCCGGCGGACGAACUUCGCCCACGCCCCCCACCAAGGCUAUAGCCCACCCGUUUUUUGGCCAUUUUUCCGCUGGGGGGUCUUGGCUCCCCGACCUUCGGGGGCUGAUUUUUGGGCGCGGGUGUGCCCGUGGCCUAUUUUUGGCACACGGAGGCCGCCCGCAAAGUCUGGGGCCAUUCCGAGUCCGGCGGACGAGCUUCGCCCACGCCCCCCACCAAGGCUAUAGCCCACCCGUUUUUUGGCCAUUUUUCCGCUGGGGGGUCUUGGCGCCCCGACCUUCGGGGGCUGAAUUUUGGGCGCGGGUGUGCCCGUGGCCUAUUUUUGGCACACGGAGGCCGCCCGCAAAGUCUGGGGCCAUUCCGAGUCCGGCGGACGAACCUCGCCCACGCCCCCCACCAAGGCUAUAGCCCACCCGUUUUUUGGCCAUUUUUCCGCUGGGGGGUCUUGGCGCCCCGACCUUCGGGGGCUGAUUUUUGGGCGCGGGUGUGCCCGUGGCCUAUUUUUGGCACACGGAGGCCGCCCGCAAAGUCUGGGGCCAUUCCGAGUCCGGCGGACGAACUUCGCCCACGCCCCCCACCAAGGCUAUAGCCCACCCGUUUUUUGGCCAUUUUUCCGCUGGGUGGUCUUGGCGCCCCGACCUUCGGGGGCUGAAUUUUGGGCGCGGGUGUGCCCGUGGCCUAUUUUUGGCACACGGAGGCCGCCCGCAAAGUCUGGGGCCAUUCCGAGUCCGGCGGACGAACUUCGCCCACGCCCCCCACCAAGGCUAUAGCCCACCCGUUUUUUGGCCAUUUUUCCGCUGGGGGGUCUUGGUGCCCCGACCUUCAGGGGCUGAAUUUUGGGCGCGGGUUUGCCCGUGGCCUAUUUUUGGCACACGGAGGCCGCCCGCAAAGUCUGGGGCCAUUCCGAGUCCGGCGGACGAACUUCGCCCACGCCCCCCACCAAGGCUAUAGCCCACCCGUUUUUUGGCCAUUUUUCCGCUGGGGGGUCUUGGCGCCCCGACCUUCGGGGGCUGAAUUUUGGGCGCGGGUGUGCCCGUGGCCUAUUUUUGGCACACGGAGGCCGCCCGCAAAGUCUGGGGCCAUUCCGAGUCCGGCGGACGAACUUCGCCCACGCCCCCCACCAAGGCUAUAGCCCACCCGUUUUUUGGCCAUUUUUCCGCUGGGGGGUCUUGGCGCCCCGACCUUCGGGGGCUGAUUUUUGGGCACGGCUGUGCCCGUGGCCUAUUUUUGGCACACGGAGGCCGCCCGCAAAGUCUGGGGCCAUUCCGAGUCCGGCGGACGAACUUCGCCCACGCCCCCCACCAAGGCUAUAGCCCACCCGUUUUUUGGCCAUUUUUCCGCUGGGGGGUCUUGGCGCCCCGACCUUCGGGGGCUGAUUUUUGGGCGCGGGUGUGCCCGUGGCCUAUUUUUGGCACACGGAGGCCGCCCGCAAAGUCUGGGGCCAUUCCGAGUCCGGCGGACGAACUUCGCCCACGCACCCCACCAAGGCUAUAGCCCACCCGUUUUUUGGCCAUUUUUCCGCUGGGGGGUCUUGGCGCCCCGACCUUCGGGGGCUGAUUUUUGGGCGCGGCUGUGCCCGUGGCCUAUUUUUGGCACACGGAGGCCGCCCGCAAAGUCUGGGGCCAUUCCGAGUCCGGCGGACGAACUUCGCCCGCGCCCCCCACCAAGGCUAUAGCCCCCCG